GACAGCUUGGGUUUGGGUGGGAAAGCAGACCAAUUUUAGUUUAUGCACCAUACAGUCCACCAAAUACUCUAGCAAAGUUUCCUCCGAAUCUCCAUUUCUCACAAGUUGACUAUUGACCCUAAGUGAAAACGGUAAAGUGAGAAGACAGUUGAGCUCAUGGUGGAAUUUGUUAACAGAUUGUUAAUCCGAGGCACAUGCAUUGCUGCCCCCAUUUCCUUUGGGAAAUCACAACAAAGUCUGAGGUUUCGGAGUGUGACAGACAAUUUGAAGAAAAACAGGAGUGAACAUAUUUAUGUGAACAAGUCACAUAUGGCCACAGUUGCUGCCUGACCCGCUGAGUUUCUUCAGUAAUCUCUGUUUUUGUUUCGGACCCUUCUUCGGAACAUGUUUGUACAGCUUUCCACGUUAACUGCUUUAAGCUGGUGGGAAACAAAUCGAUGUGAAGGUCUGACACCUCUUGCUAUCCCCCCGCGGCCAUUGCACUGACGUCAGCUACGAUUCUUGCGCAGGCGCAGUAGGGUAUGAAACGUCAUCAAAGGCAGACAAUGACGGGUAACUAUGACACCGGCUUCUCCUUGGUAACCGCGCAGCAGGCCUGGCAACUCCUAA